UGGUAUCUUAGAUGGCUCACAGCUCAUCUUCGCCAAAUUGCAAAAAUCCCAAAUCAAGUCAUUUUGCUCGAAGACUUUCCAUAGCUCCUUUCUCCAUAGCUCAUCUUCGCCGUUCAUGUCUCUUCCGUUGUUAUCUAUAAUCGCCGACUCAGUUCCUCUCUGCGUGGUUUCUCCAUAGACACCGACUCAGCUCCCUUCUUUGCUCCUCCCAAAUCCUGUUGUUUCUCUUCACUGUUCAGCAAGGCACAACAAUUCCUUUUGCUCGGCCUACACUUGAGAUCUUUGCUGCAUUUGUUAAAUGGCCCAGGGUCAGUCCACAUGUACUGGAGGGGGAAGCUCAUCAAAAUGAUGUUGAAGUUGGAGAUAAUAAUGAGCAAGAUGGAGGAGAGCAUGGAGCUUAAAGCACGCCAAUCCCAGAAGAAAUUAUGGCAGUUGGAACAUCACAACCAACUGUUGUGGCUACCAAAGAUGGUCGCAUUGGUGUCAAGAACCAAAUGAAGGAUGAGUUUUCAAACAUUUAUAUACGUUGGAGUAUGACUUAUUUAGCCAAGAAGAAAAUAGAGAUAUGAUGGAGAGAAACUGAAUGUGAUUAUGUAGCCAAUGCUUUUCCAGAUCUGUAAGUUUAGUUUUAUUCUUUUUAAUUGACUAUUUUGUUACCAAGCCCACUUUCCAUGGCAUGUUGUAAAACAUAUUUUGGUAUCUAACUUGUUCAUAAUGUAUUAUGUGAUUUGUUUUUCAAGGAAAUAUCAUCUCACUUUGACCAAGUGGUCUCAGUCAAUUUGAAUGUAUUUUAUACUGUGAUUGUAUUACGUUAAUAUCAAUAUGUUGUAUACCAUUUUUCUGCUUAGAAUUUCAAAUAGGAUUCUUGAACAUGGUAAUUCAAAAUUGAGAGAUCACACAUUAUAUUUGAUUUCACAAUCGAGGUUUUAAAUUGUAGUCGCGGUUAUGAUUAUGUCAUUGUCUUUGUUGAUGUGCAAUUGUGAUCUGUGAAUAUGUGACUUUACUCGAAAGAUGCGUCCGGUGUUCGACACUGAUAGGAUACUGACACAUGUGAUUAUAUUAAAAUAUUUCAUAUUCUCAAAUUGCUAUGGUCGUGUUCGGUAUUCAUGUUUGUGUCCGUGUUUCAUUUGCGAUUAGGAUGUGGUC